rnacentral:rRNA from 1 species
UACGGGGGGGGUAAGCGUUGUUCGGAAUUACUGGGCGUAAAGGGCUCGUAGGCGGCCAACUAAGUCAGACGUGAAAUCCCCAGGCUUAACCUGGGAACUGCGUCGGAUACUGGAUGGCUUGAAUCCGGGAGAGGGAUGCGGAAUUCCAGGUGUAGCGGUGAAAUGCGUAGAUAUCUGGAGGAACACCGGUGGCGAAGGCGGCAUCCUGGACCGGCAUUGACGCUGAGGAGCGAAAGCCAGGGGAGCAAACGGG